rnacentral:rRNA from 1 species
UACGGAGGAUCCAAGCGUUAUCCGGAUUUAUUGGGUUUAAAGGGUGCGUAGGCGGAUUGAUAAGUUAGAGGUGAGAUGUCCGAGCUCAACUCGGGAACUGCCUCUAGUACUGUUGAUCUAGAGAGUAGAUGCGGUAGGCGGAAUGUAUGGUGUAGCGGUGAAAUGCUUAGAGAUCAUACAGAACACCGAUUGCGAAGGCAGCUUACCAAUCUAUAUCUGACGUUGAGGCACGAAAGCGUGGGGAGCAAACAGG